rnacentral:rRNA from 1 species
UACGGAGGGUGCAAGCGUUAAUCGGAAUUACUGGGCGUAAAGGGUGCGUAGGUGGUUUGAUAAGUUAACUGUGAAAGCCCUGGGCUCAACCUGGGAAUGCCAGUUAAUACUGUUGGACUAGAGUAUGGGAGAGGAUAGUGGAAUUUCCGGUGUAGCGGUGAAAUGCGUAGAGAUCGGAAGGAACACCAGUGGCGAAGGCGGCAUCCUGGACCGGUAUUGACGCUGAGGCGCGAAAGCUAGGGGAGCAAACGGG